AGUUGGUGGAGUGAUUUGUCUGGUUAAUUCCGAUAACGAACGAGACCUUAACCUGCUUAAUAGCCAGGCCGGCUUUUGCUGGUCGCCGGCUUCUUAGAGGGACUGUCUGCGUCUAGCAGACGGAAGUUUGAGGCAAUAACAGGU
rnacentral:rRNA from 1 species